rnacentral:lncRNA from 9 species
UUUUUUUUUUUUUUUUUUGACGGACCAGGGGAAUCUGACUGUUUAAUUAAAACAAAGUAUCACAAAGACCCAUGGUGUUUACGUGAUGUGAUUACUGCCCAGUGCUCUGAUUGUCAAAGUGAAGAAAUUCUGCAAUUCUACCUUUCUCCCUCCCUCCCUUCCUUCCUUUUUAGGGCUGCAUAUGGAAGUUCCCAGGCUAGUGGUUGAACAGGAGCUGCAGCAGCCACAGCAGCAUAGGAUCUGAGCCGUGUCUGUGACCUAUACCACAGCUCACAACAAUGCCAGAUUCCCGACCCACUGAGCAAGGCCAGGAAUCGAACCUGCAUCCUUAUGGAUACCAUUCAGGUUUGUUACCGCUGAGCCACAACGGGAACUCCAAUACUACCUUUCUUAAGGAGAUUGAUUUUCUUCCAGAGAAAGCUUGACCUUAAUGAGGAGGCAAAUAGUAAAAGUGCUGCGUUUGGUGUUUGGAAGCCUGGUUGAUAGGAUUGGUCCCAUGCUGACUCUUUGGGUCUUGGCUGGUGGAUUUCCUCACAUGGGAAUAAUAAUUACCAUGUUGCUGACAUAAAGUACUAAUCUGAGGCACCUGCAGUAUAAAGUGCUGUGUGAUGCUGUUACUGCUGUAGGAGUUGGUCCUGUGCGGAUUUUUCACAUUAAGAGCCUCAAGAUUCUUGCAGGAGAACAAGUAAACCUUUUAAGUAAUCUUGGUAUGUUUCAUUGUUUUCCUUGUAAAAGAAUACCCUAUAUAUCACCAAAUAAACCUAAAAUAAAAUCUUUCAGGCAUUUCAUUAGACUGCAAUGACGCUAUUUCAACUAAGAUUAUAAACUCUUACCUUCUGAUCUCCCUUCCUCCAAUCUUUUUUUUUUUUUUUUCUUUUUAGGGCCAAACCCAUGGCAUAUAGAAGCUCUGAGGCUAGGCGUUGAAUUGGAGCUACACCGGCCGGCCUACACCACAGCCACAGCCACAUUAGAUCCAAGCCAUGUCUGUGACCUACACCACAGCUCACGGCAACACUGGAUCCCUGACCCACAGAACCAGGCCAGAGAUGGAACAUGCAUCCUCAUGGUUACUAGUCAGAUUCAUUUCUGCUGUGCUACAGCGGGAACUCCAGUGUGAUUGUGAUUCUUAAUACCUGCUCCAAUUCGCUGGACCUCCCAAGCUUGGAGUUUCAUGCACAUCUCUCCUGAGCCCACCCACCCUCAGCUUGUGCUGGAUCCUCAUUGGAUAUCAUAUUGCUUCAGAUGAGAUGUCAUAUAGAUUUUUACAGCCCUCUGACUUCUUCCUGGCAGUGGCUAAAACUGCAAUGAGUAAUCAGAUUAGAAAAGAAAAAGCUUUCUGUGGAAAUUUGGGAGCAAAAUUCCCAUUAAUUAAAAAAAAUACCCAGCAUAUUUUCCUCAGAGCCCAUGGUAUAGACAUGUUUAGCUGUCAUUGUUUAAACUCAACCCUUUUAACCCAAGGGCAAGCUGGCUGUGCCCUCUCCUCUCCCGUUUGGACAUAAAGCCUGUGAUUGUUGAUUGUUCUGCCUUUGGGUCACUUGAAAAUGAGAUUUCAAUUAAAUAGAAUAUUUCCAUUUCAGGAUAAUGGGCAUCUUUAAUUUUGUACUUUUCGAAGGGCUAGGGAAACAUUUAUACUUGCGAUUUUCCCUCUUCAGUCUUGAAUAGACGGGGUGGAUCCAUUAGAGAGUACAUCUGAUGACAUGUGAUGAGCCAUCAAAGUUAGGAAAAAGAACACAAAAGUGGCGUUUAUAGUAUUAAAAAAGCUUUCGUCAGGUUGUGUAUAUGCUAGUUUUAACUGACUUUAGAAAUUCCAUGAGGCUUCGUAUGUGCUUUUAUUUAUUUUGCUGUUUAGGGCUGCACCCAAGGCAUAUGGAAGUUCCCAGGCUAGGAGUCCAAUUGGAGCUGCAGUUGCUGGCCUACACCACAGCCACAGUAACUUGGGAUCUGAGCCACGUCUCUGUGGUGUAGGUCGCAGAUGGGGCUCGGAUCCCGAGUUGCUGUGGCUCUGGUGUAGGCUGGUGGCUGCGGCUCUGAUUAGACCCCUAGCCUGGGAACCUCCAUAUGCCUCGGGAGUGGCCCUGGAAAAGGCAAAAAGACAAAAAAAAAAAAAAUUUCUGUUGCACAUCAAGGUGACCCAACCCCACACAGUUCCCUGUGCUGCACAGUAGGAGCCCAUUGCCCAUCCAGCCCAAAUGUUACAGUUUGUUCUUUAUUUUUCUCCCAGUUUUAUUGAGAUAGGAUUGACAUACAACAUUGCAAAAAUUUAAGGUGUAUGACAUGUUGAUUUGAUAUAUUUAUAUAUUGCAAAAUGAUUACUACCAUAGCAUUAGCUAAUGAUCCCAUCUUGUUACAUAAUGACUAUUUCUUUUUUGUGGUGGGAAUACUCAAAAUCUGUUCUCUUAGCAACAUCCAAGUAUAUGCUUUGGUAUUGUUAGCCGUCAUCAUCAUGUUAUGCAUUAGAUUCUCAGAAUUUGUUAAUCUUAUGUCUAGAAGUUUGUACCCUUUGACCAGCAUCUCUCAAUUCCCCUUCCUCCCCCCGCCAAUCCCUGGUAACCACCACCCUACUCUCUAUUCUCCUGGGUUGGGCUGUUUUAGAUUCCAGGUAUAUGUUCUCAUAAAGUAUUUGUCUUUCUCUGACUUACUUGACUAAGCAUAAUAUCCUCAAGUUGUAGCCAAGUUGUAACACGUGGCAGGAUUUCCUUAUUUCCUAUGACUGAAUAUUCCAUGUGUGUACAUGUGUGUCUCUAUCUCUAUAGAUAUGUAGAUUUCACAUCUUCUUUAUCCAUUCAUCUGUUGUUGGACACUUAGGUUGUUUCCAUAUCUUGGCUCUUGUGAGUAAUGCUGCAAUGAAAAUGGGGUGCGGUAUCUCUACGAGGUCCUGAUUUUAACUUCUUUGGAUAAAUGCCCAGAAGUAGGACUGCUGGAUCAUAGUUACAUUUUUGUAUAAGAACCAUCGUAAGAGGUUUCCAUAAUGGCUGUACCAGUUUCCAUUCCCUCCAACAAUGCACUAGGGGUCCCUCUGCUCCACAUCCUCAUCAACUCAUUAUCUCUUGUCUUUUUGAUGAGAGCCACUCUAACUGGUGUGAGCUGAGAUCUCAUUGUGGUUUUGACUUGCACUGCUCUGAUGAUUAGUGAUGUCAAGCACCUUUUAGCGAUACUUUUCAACUUUGGCCAUUUAAAAAGAAGUUUUAUUGAAGUGUAGUUGAUUUACAAUGUUGUGAUAAUUUCUGCUGUACAGCAAAAGUAAUUCAGUGAUGCAUAUACAUACAUCCAUUCUUUUCAGAUUCUUUUCACUUAUAGACCAUCACAGAAUAUUGGGUAGAGUUUGGAGAACUCUACUUUGAGCAUUUAGGUGUCUUUGAAAAACUCAGUUCCUCUGCUGAUUUUUUUAUUUGAGUUUUUUUUUUUUUUUUUUUUUUUUUUUUGCUAUUGAGUUAUGUGAGCUCUUUAUAUAUUUUGGAUAUUAAGCUCUUAUUAGAUAUAUGGUUUGCAAAUAUUUUCUCCCAUUCAGUAGGUUCCUUUUUCAUUUUGUUGCUGUGCAGAAGCUUUUUAGUUUGAUGGAGUCCCACUCACUUAUUUUUACUUUUGUGGCUUAUGCUUUCGGCAUCAUGUCCAGGAAAUUGCUGCCAAGACCAAUGCUAAUGAGCUCUUCCCUCUAUGUUUUCUUCUGGAAGUUUCAUGGUUUUACAUCUUAAGUUUGUCUUUAAUCCAUUUUGAGUUAAUUUUUGUGAGUGGUACACAUUCUUCUGGCUGUCCAGUUUUUCCAGUACCAUUGUGGAAAAGAUUAUCCUUUCCACAUUGUGUAUAUUUGGUGCCUGGUCAAGUAUUAGUUGACCGUGUGUGGGUGGGUUUAUUUCUGGGCUCUCAAUUCUGUUCUGUUGGUCUG